UACAUGUGGGGCAAGCGUUGUUCGGAAUUACUGGGCGUAAAGGGUGCGUAGGUGGUUUGUUAAGUCAGGGGUGAAAUCCCGCGGCCCAACCGUGGAACUGCCUUUGAUACUGGCGAACUUGAGUGCGUGAGGGGUAGGGGGAACGAGCAGUGUAGCGGUGAAAUGCGUAGAUAUUGCUCGGAAGGCCAGAGCCGAAGGGGCCCUACUGGUGCGCGACUGACACUGAGGCACGAAAGCGUGGGGAGCAAACAGG
rnacentral:rRNA from 1 species